CCUGGUCGGUAGUCAGAGCUCUUGUUCUCUCUGGUAUCAGCCAUUCCUCCAGCCUGCAGGCGCCUGCAGUACUAGAAGCCUCCAGCUCCUCCAGUUCUCUCCUCUUCUCCUGAAUGACCACCAAGGAUAGACAGGAAGGAAAUCAGCAGAAUAAUAUUAGACCUCACCUUGGAGAUCAUCUCCCUGCUAGAGGAGUACACAAUAGUGAAGAAGACAUCGGGGGACUGUGUGACUCCCAUC